rnacentral:rRNA from 1 species
AUACAUUAGAUACCCCCGUAGUCCAGGGUGUAAACGCUGCGGGCUUGGUGUUGGGGGUCCUUUGAGGGCGCCCAGUGCCGGAGAGAAGUUGUUAAGCCUGCUGCUUGGGGAGUACGUCCGCAAGGAUGAAACUUAAAGGAAUUGGCGGGGGAGCACCGCAACGGGAGGAGCGUGCGGUUCAAUUGGAUUCAACGCCGGACAACUCACCAGGAGCGACGGUUACAUGAAGGCCAGGCUGAUGACCUUGCCUGAUUUUCCG